AUUGAACGCUGGCGGCAGGCCUAACACAUGCAAGUCGAGCGGAUGAAGGGAGCUUGCUCCUGGAUUCAGCGGCGGACGGGUGAGUAAUGCCUAGGAAUCUGCCUGGUAGUGGGGGAUAACGUCCGGAAACGGGCGCUAAUACCGCAUACGUCCUGAGGGAGAUAGUGGGGGAUCUUCGGACCUCACGCUAUCAGAUGAGCCUAGGUCGGAUUAGCUAGUUGGUGGGGUAAAGGCCUACCAAGGCGACGAUCCGUAACUGGUCUGAGAGGAUGAUCAGUCACACUGGAACUGAGACACGGUCCAGACUCCUACGGGAGGCAGCAGUGGGGAAUAUUGGACAAAGGGCGAAAGCCUGAUCCAGCCAUGCCGCGUGUGUGAAGAAGGUCUUCGGAUUGUAAAGCACUUUAAGUUGGGAGGAAGGGCAGUAAGUUAAUACCUUGCUGUUUUGACGUUACCAACAGAAUAAGCACCGGCUAACUUCGUG
rnacentral:rRNA from 1 species